AAACAUUUAUUAUCUAUCAUAAAUGCUUUAAUGCCAUCUAGCGGCGAAUAUCUGUACCGUAAUGCGUUACUUAUUUUGUAUUUUUGAAUCAUAUAGGCUAUCCUUAUAUUUCAAAGCAUGGCUUCUGCUGGACAAUUUAAUAUUUUGUUAAUUUUAUUUUGAGAAAACGAGCCUUCAGACAUCAACGUACAAUGGUCGUACAAUUUUAUAAUCACUGUACAAUGUUAGUGUUUUUAAAGUUAUAUCCUUUUUUCGUUCAGACUUUUGCUCUUUCGAAGAGUGAACAGAGUUGGUUAUGUCUGCUUGUAGUGAGUUAUUUCAGUGAAUUGUAACCCCGCCCACAUUCACGAGGAGCCACCGGGCGGCACAACAGGUCUGUGUGGAGACUUUGACAGGCACAGAGCAGUUGCCAAGGUUUAAAUGCAAAAAGUCUGAGGAUCAGAUUUAAUCUUUGGAUCGAUACGAAACCCCUUAUAUAUUUAAAAAUAAAAAAUAUUAACUGAGAGGAACGAAGAGUGGCUUUCAACCGGUCCCGCACAGGGAUGUAUGGAUUAGGCACUGGAGUGACAGGAAUCCAGAAUGAGGAAGUGUGACUCUGUCAAAUCCCUGUUGGAUCAGUGUGUUGCUGCUAGUAGAGACCAGAUGAUGAUGGGUGAUCUAGGAUCGUGUAGCUGAGGUCAAAGUUCUUCCAGUUCAGUCAUUACAGAAACUGUAUGAAGAGUGAUGGCUCCUGUUGAGGAGGGUCUGAUCACCUGGUUAUCAGGUUGUUCUUCCUCCCUUCAGAUUAGCAUCGUGUCAGCCAUCUUCAUCAUUAUUUAUGUCACAGUCUACAGCCUUUGUACAAGCUGUUUCAGUAUGUCUGACAGUGUUUCACCCAGACAUUUGCACAGACGAGAGAAAACAAAUAUUCCAUCGGCACCUCAACAAAAUAAACUACCUGAGCCCCAGAGUGUUGAAUAUAUGCCAGAUGCCAAGGAUCUAACUGAUCAUAUAUACUCAUUCGUGGAGGCUGAACUGAAUGAGGAAAAUCCUUAUGAGUGCAUUAGUGAGCCUCCUUUACAGCCUCCAUCUGACAAACCUGACGGGGAGAAUGAGAGCCCUUCCCAAGCAAUGACAAAGCCUGAUGAUAAUCACUCUGUCUCAGCCCUCAACAAACCAGUAAAUAAGCAGGCAGUGGAGCAGCCUGAUGCUUUACCUCAACAUUUGACCAACUCAGAACCGACUGCUGUCUAUGCUGCAGUGAACUGGAAAACCAAAAGUCAGAAGAACAUAACACCUCUAUCUGAUACAGAUACUGUGGUUGAUAUGAGUGAUAUUGCUAAGGAGACUGUUCCUCCCAUUCCAGACAAACAUUUCUAGUAUGACGAAAGGGCAAUGUUUUGAUUUUCAAUGCAUUAUUUGUAUUUAUUCAUAUUUUGCAAGCCUUAUAAAACAAACACGCAACACACAUAAACAUGUUGUUAACAAUAAAUAUUCUUGUAUUUAUUGCUAUUUAUCA
ensembl:lncRNA